GUAAGAGUGCAUGAACGGGAAACCAUGGAGAGGUUGGCUGUUUUCAUAUGAGGAAUAGGGUCAGUCAGCUGUCUCUUUGUGAUGAUGGUCCAGAAAAUACAGGAUGGUGAACACAGUGUUGAGUUGUUCAUUUAUUCGGCUGUGCUCAUUCAAGAAACAUCAUGAGUUCAAGAUCUAGAUAUCAUCGUGAUUCGAGUGCAUGGAUGGGAAACUAUGGAGAGGUUGGCUGUUUCCAAGUGAGGAAUAGGGUCUGUCAGCUGUCUCUUUGUGAUGAUGGUCCUGAAAAUACAUCUUCAAGAAACAUCUUCAGUUCAAGAGUGCUCAUUCAAGAAACAUCUUCAGUUCAAUAUCCAGAUAUCAUCGUGAUUCGAUCGCAAGAAGACUCAAUCACUACAACAUCGAAGAUCCAGAG